UACGAAGGGGGCUAGCGUUGCUCGGAAUCACUGGGCGUAAAGCGCACGUAGGCGGAUUGCUAAGUCAGGGGUGAAAUCCUGGAGCUCAACUCCAGAACUGCCUUUGAUACUGGCGAUCUUGAGUCCGGGAGAAGGUGAGUGGCAACUGCGAGUGUAGAGGUGAAAUUCGUAGAUAUUCGCAAGAACACCAGUGGCGAAGG
rnacentral:rRNA from 1 species